rfam:Hydrogenobaculum sp. Y04AAS1, complete genome.
GAGCCACUAGCUCAGCAGGUAGAGCAACGGACUUUUAAUCCGUGGGUCGGGGGUUCAAGUCCCCCGUGGCUCA